UGCUUUAUUUAUCAUUGAUUC
rnacentral:piRNA from 1 species